CGAACGGGUGAGUAACGCGUGAGGAACCUGCCUCAAAGAGGGGGAUAACAGUUGGAAACGACUGCUAAUACCGCAUAAGCCCACGGCUCGGCAUCGAGCAGAGGGAAAAGGAGUGAUCCGCUUUGAGAUGGCCUCGCGUCCGAUUAGCUAGUUGGUGAGGUAACGGCCCACCAAGGCGACGAUCGGUAGCCGGACUGAGAGGUUGAACGGCCACAUUGGGACUGAGACACGGCCCAG
rnacentral:rRNA from 1 species